rnacentral:rRNA from 1 species
GGCUACCGCUAUUGGAGUUCGAUUAAGCCAUGCGAGUCGCGAGUCUUAGGGACUCGGCGUACCGCUCAGUAACACGUGGGUAACCUGCCCUAUGCUGGGGGAUAACCUCGGGAAACUGAGAAUAAUACCCCAUAGUUCACCACGCCUGGAACGGUGGGUGGAUCAAAGCCCCGGCGGCAUAGGAUGGGCCUGCGGCGUAUCAGGUUGUAGGGGGUGUAAUGUACCCUCUAGCCCUCUACGCGUACGGGUGUUGAGAGACAUAGCCCGGAGAUGGAUUCUGAGACACGAAUCCAGACCCUACGGGGUGCAGCAGGCGCGAAAACUUGGCAAUGCGAGAAAUCGUGACCAGGGAACUCCAAGUGCAUCGGGUAAGACCGAUGCUUUUCUUGACUCUUCAAAGGUCUUGGAAUAAGGGGUGGGUAAGGACGGUGCCAGCCGCCGCGGUAAUACCGGCGCCCCAAGUGGUAGUCGCUUUUAUUGGGCCUAAAACGUCCGUAGCCGGUCUGGUACAUUCGUGGGUAAAUCAACCAGCUCAACUGGUUGAAUUCUGCGAGCACGGCCAGACUUGGGACCGGGAGAGGUGUGGGGUACUCUCAGGGUAGGGGUAAAAUCCUGUCAUCCUGAGAGGACCACCUGUUGCGAAGGCGCCACACUAGAACGGAUCCGACGGUCAGGGACGAAGCCUAGGGGCACGAACCGGAUUAGAUACCCGGGUAGUCCUAGGUGUAAACGCUGUGGACUUGAUGUUGGGAGCGCUCCGAGCGCCCUCAGUGUCGAAGCGAAGGUGAUAAGUCCACUGCCUGGGGAGUACGGUCGCAAGGCUGAAACUUAAAGGAAUUGGCGGGGGAGCACCGCAACCUGAGGAUUGUGCGGUUU